ACAACAGGACUGGAGUGGGAGUACUGGAAGACGACGGAAGAGAACAGCCACUGACAUGAAAGGUCUGUGCUUCUGUUCCACACUGGAAAGUCCUGGAGCAAAGUCUAUCCCCUUUUGAAAGGCAUAAAAUAGUUGAGCCUCAU
rnacentral:lncRNA from 1 species